GACGAACGCUGGCGGCGUGCCUAAUACAUGCAAGUCGACCUUAGUGGCGAACGGGUGAGUAACACGUGGGUAACCUGCCAAUCAGAAGGGGAUAACACUUGGAAACAGGGGCUAAUAACGUAUAGUGAUGGAUGGACGCGCGGUGCAUUAGCUAGUUGGUGAGGUAACGGCUCACCACGGCCACGAUGCAUAGCCGCCCGGAGCGGGUUGUCGGCCACAUUGGGACUGAGACACGGCCCAAACUCCUACGGUAGGCAGCAGUAGUGAAUCUUCGGCAAUGGACUAAAGUCUUACCGAUCAACGCCGCGUGAGUGAAGAAGGUUUUCGGAUCGUAAAACUCUGUUGUUAGAGAAGCGGUAUCUAACCAGAACGCCACGGCUAACUACGUGCCAGCAGCCGCGGUAAUUC
rnacentral:rRNA from 1 species